GACGAACGCUGGCGGCGUGCUUAAAACAUGCAAGUCGAACGGGAAGGGCCUGCCUUUGUUGGGUUCUCGGGUGGCGGACGGGUGAGUAACAAGUGGGUUACCUGCCCCUGGCUUUGGGAUAACUUCCGGAAAAUGGGGCUAAAACCGGAUAGGAGCCUCUGCUGCCUGGUGGGGGUUGGAAAGUUUCGGCGGUUGGGGAUGGACUUGCGGGUUAUCAGCUUGUUGGUGGGGUAGUGGCUUACCAAGGCUUUGACGGGUAGCCGGCCUGAGAGGGUGACCGGCCACAUUGGGACUGAGAUACGGCCCAGACUCCUACGGGAGGCAGCAGUGGGGAAUAUUGCACAAUGGGCGGAAGCCUGAUGCAGCAACGCCGCGUGCGGGAUGACGGCCUUCGGGUUGUAAACCGCUUUCGCCUGUGACGAAGCGUGAGUGACGGUAAUGGGUAAAGAAGCACCGGCUAACUACGUG
rnacentral:rRNA from 1 species